rnacentral:misc_RNA from 1 species
GAAAGUAAAAGUCGUAACAAGGUUUCCGUAGGUGAACCUGCGGAAGGAUCAUUACAGAGUUCAUGCCCUCACGGGUAGAUCUCCCACCCUUGAAUAUUUAUACCUUAGUUGCUUUGGCAGGCCGUGGAAACACCAUGGGCUCCGGCUUAUGCGUGCCUGCCAGAGGAAACAAACUCUGUUUUUAGUGAUGUCUGAGUACUAUAUAAUAGUUAAAACUUUCAACAACGGAUCUCUUGGUUCUG